rnacentral:rRNA from 1 species
UACGUAGGGGGCAAGCGUUGUCCGGAUUUAUUGGGCGUAAAGAGCGUGUAGGCGGCCAGAUAAGUCUGCUGUGAAAACUCGAGCUCAACCUCGAGACGCCGAUGGAAACCGUAUGGCUAGAGUCCGGAAGAGGAGAGUGGAAUUCCGUGGUGUAGCGGUGAAAUGCGCAGAUAUCAGGAAGAACACCCGUGGCGAAGGCGGCUCUCUGGGACGGUACUGACGCUGAGACGCGAAAGCGUGGGGAGCGAACAGG